rnacentral:tRNA from 1 species
UGGCCCGUGGUGUAAUUGGUAACACACCUGGUUUUGGUCCAGGCAUUCCAAGUUCGAGUCUUGGCGGGCCAG